rnacentral:lncRNA from 1 species
CUCAGAAAUUGUUAUAUAAUCUGUAGUAAUUAAGUUUGAAAGUAACAUCUUAGAUGUUAAUAUGGAAGAAAAAAGUUUCAAUAAAUGGUUACAAUAUAAAUGCCUGGUAAUCUAGACACAAAUCAGUUUAUAUUCUCAUCUCAUAGAUGAAAAAAAAAUCCUAAUGUACUAUAAAAAUAAAUGUGAAAGAUUUAAAACAUAAAGAGAAUUGAUAAUUCAUAAGAUCCAUAGAAGAAUGAAAAUGGGCGAGGAUUGGUUCUACACAUUCAGUAUUCUGGCAUUAGAAGAAAAUAUAAAGAAAAUGAGCUGGUGUUUGUAAAGAUAAAGUUGACAAA